UGUUGACAGAAGAGAGUGAGCACAACCCGGCAUUGGUGGAAGAGAGCUUUGUCACUGUUGGGAGUGUGCUCGCUCUUCUUCUGUCAGCA
rnacentral:pre_miRNA from 1 species